rnacentral:rRNA from 1 species
CACGUAGGGGGCAAGCGUUGUCCGGAUUUAUUGGGCGUAAAGAGCUCGUAGGCGGUUCGGUAAGUCGGGUGUGAAACCUCCAGGCUCAACCUGGAGACGCCACCUGAUACUGCUGUGACUCGAGUCCGGUAGGGGAGCGUGGAAUUCCUGGUGUAGCGGUGAAAUGCGCAGAUAUCAGGAGGAACACCAGCGGCGAAGGCGGGCGCUCUGGGCCGGAACUGACGCUGAGGAGCGAAAGCGUGGGUAGCAAACAGG